GACAGAGGUGCCGAGCGUUAGGCGGAAUCACUGGGCUUAAAGCGUGUGUAGGCGGACUUCUAAGUGCCUUGUGAAAUCCCACGGCUCACCCGUGGAACUGCUGGGCAUACUGGGAGUCUUGAGCCACUUAGGGGCAACUGGAACAAACGGUGGAGCGGUGAAAUGCGUAGAUAUCAGGAAGAACACCCGUGGCUAAGGCGGCUCUCUAGUACGGUACUGACGCUGAGACGCGAAAGCGUGGGGAGCGAACAGG
rnacentral:rRNA from 1 species